rnacentral:rRNA from 1 species
GGGAUCAUUACCGAGUUUACAACUCCCAAACCCAAUGUGAACGUUACCAAACUGUUGCCUCGGCGGGGUCACGCCCCGGGUGCGUAAAAGCCCCGGAACCAGGCGCCCGCCGGAGGAACCAACCAAACUCUUUCUGUAGUCCCCUCGCGGACGUAUUUCUUACAGCUCUGAGCAAAAAUUCAAAAUGAAUCAAAACUUUCAACAACGGAUCUCUUGGUUCUGGCAUCGAUGAAGAACGCAGCGAAAUGCGAUAAGUAAUGUGAAUUGCAGAAUUCAGUGAAUCAUCGAAUCUUUGAACGCACAUUGCGCCCGCCAGUAUUCUGGCGGGCAUGCCUGUCCGAGCGUCAUUUCAAUCCUCGAACCCCUCCGGGGGAUCGGCGUUGGGGAUCGGGACCCCUCACCGGGUGCCGGCCCUGAAAUACAGUGGCGGUCUCGCCGCAGCCUCUCCUGCGCAGUAGUUUGCACAACUCGCACCGGGAGCGCGGCGCGUCCACGUCCGUAAAACACCCAACUUCUGAAAUGUUGACCUCGGAUCAGGUAGGAAUACCCGCUGAACUUAAGCAUAUCAAUAAGCGGAGGAA